AGAUCUCGCCUACGGGGGCAGCAGUAGGGAAUUUUCGUCAAUGGGCGCAAGCCUGAACGAGCGAUGCCGCGUGAGUGAAGAAGGCCUUCGGGUCGUAAAGCUCUGUUGCGGGGGAAAAAAGGCAUCUGCAGGAAAUGGUAGAUGACAGAUGGUGCCCCGCCAGAAAGUCACGGCUAACUACGUGCC
rnacentral:rRNA from 1 species